rnacentral:rRNA from 1 species
UACAGAGGGUGCAAGCGUUAAUCGGAAUUACUGGGCGUAAAGCGUGCGUAGUCGGUUAUUUAAGUCGGAUGUGAAAUCCCCGGGCUCAACCUGGGAAUUGCAUUCGAUACUGGAUAGCUAGAGUUCGGCAGAGGGAAGUGGAAUUUCUGGUGUAGCGGUGAAAUGCGUAGAUAUCAGAAGGAACAUCAGUGGCGAAAGCGACUUCCUGGACCAGAACUGACGAUCAGGCACAAAAGCGUGGGGAGCAAAAGGG